CGGAGGAUCCAAGCGUUAUCCGGAAUCAUUGGGUUUAAAGGGUCCGUAGGCGGCUUUAUAAGUCAGUGGUGAAAUCCGGCAGCUCAACUGUCGAAUUGCCAUUGAUACUGUAGGGCUUGAAUUAUUGUGAAGUAACUAGAAUAUGUAGUGUAGCGGUGAAAUGCUUAGAUAUUACAUGGAAUACCAAUUGCGAAGGCAGGCUACUAACAAUAGAUUGACGCUGAUGGACGAAAGCGUGGGGAGCGAACAGGAUUAGAUACCCUGGUAGUCCACGCCGUAAACGAUGGAUACUAGCUGUUGACUGCAAGGUUAAGUGGCUAAGCGAAAGUGAUAAGUAUCCCACUGGGGAGUACGGGCGCAAGCCUAG
rnacentral:rRNA from 1 species